rnacentral:snRNA from 1 species
ACCCUUGCCUGGUUUCGGCCCCUCGUUGGUUACGAGGAUGAGCCCCGAAGGCGAGGCGCGGGCAUUGCACUAUGCUCGCGUCGACCCCUGCUCCUACCCCAAACUGGGGCAGAUGGGGCAUCCUAGUUUCUUAAAUCCGGUGCCGUCAGCAAGCGCGCGAU